UACAGGGGGGGCAAGCGUUGUUCGGAAUUACUGGGCGUAAAGGGUCUGUAGGUGGCCAACUAAGUCAGACGUGAAAUCCCUCAGCUUAACUGGGGAACUGCGUCUGAUACUGGAUGGCUUGAGUGCAGGAGAGGAAUGCGGAAUUCCAGGUGUAGCGGUGAAAUGCGUAGAUAUCGGGAAGAACACCCGUGGCGAAGGCGGAUCUCUGGGCCGUAACUGACGCUGAGGAGCGAAAGCAUGGGGAGCGAACAGG
rnacentral:rRNA from 1 species